AGGACGGCCUGGGGCGGGGCCUCGGCGGAGGGCGGGGCCACGGCGAAGCGCGAGGGCGGAUCCGUGGCGGCGCUGAGGCCGGCUUUUGGAGACCUCGUAUUGUCUCGCUCCGUUCCCCCCAGCCCCCUUUUGCAGACGAGCAAUGUCCCGAAGGUCCCAAAGUCAGUAUACUGCAGCAGUGAGAGCCGAGCUCGGUUCGUCUGAGAUAAUUUUCAGGAAAACGUGAAAUCCUAAUUCUCAUUCGGGUUUUAAGUAGGGAGAAGUGAUAAAGGCUUUAUUUCUACUCGUUAAUCAGAGAAGCAAGCAGCCAGACGUUAAAACCAGUUCAAAGAGAAUAGAAAAGGAGACCCGUUUAUAGAUGAGGCGCAUUGAAAUGAACAUACUUUGAACUUGAUGAGGCCCCAAGCGUCCAUAAACCUGGAGCACGGCGUGAUGAUUCAAGCUGUGGAAUUUGAGCCCGGGGCCACACUGCCGGGAGGACAGGCCAUCGUGGAGCAGGGGACAGCGAUCCACGGGGAGGACAGAGAUUGCAAAGUGCUGGGGAGUUCGCCAGGAGAAGGGGGAGCAGGGCCACAAAAGUCACUCCAGCUGUGAUCAGGUAAAAACAGGGGGGUCGAGUUGCGAGCGGUGAUCACGUGCGCAUUGUCAUACUUUACCCUCGCUAAUGAGCUGGUCCAAAGGGGCUCUCGCGUUGACACGCUUCCAUGCACCCGCUGGGUGUUUGUUCCUGAGCCAUGAACUUCUAGAUCGUAAGUGUCGUGUACAUCCCGGGCUGCCCUGGUGUUUGCUUCUCAGAGGGCAAGAAGCAGCAGGCUGUCCAUAGACUGAGACUUUGUAUCGUCUGAAUAAUACUGCGUAGUUCUCCACACAGACAUCCUACACACCUACUGAUAGAUUUGCUCCUGUAGGUAAAUGGCAGGUGGAAGUGGCAUUUUGGAUGGGUUACGGGUGGCUGCAAAUUCACUGCCUCUCCUCCCAACAAAGGAGGGAGUCUAUCACCCACUCCUUCUCUGGGCUGACCGGUGGUUAAGUAGCUGUGGGAGGGCUUCUCGGUCUAGGUCUCCAGAGGUCUUGGAGAUUCCGCGCCUGCCCUCUCGGCCCCUGUGCUGAGAGCACCGUGCUGAGAGGUGCUGAGAGCACCUCACUCACGUGAGGCUGACAGCCACCCUGCCAUCCUGAGGCCCACAGAAGCGCCCAGCCAACCUGCAGACUCAUGAGAAAAACGAAGUGUGCGUCUUUCAGGAUACUGAGUUUUUUAGGUGGUUUGUUAUCUUACGAUGGAUAAUGCCUCCAGCAUUUUUAUUCAGAGAGCAGGGGGAGGGGCAGAGGGAGAGGAAGAGAGAAUCCCAAGCAGGCUCAACACUGGCAGCAUAGAACCUAACGCGGGGCUCGAUCUCACAAACUGUGAGAUCGUGACCUGAGCGGAAAUCAAGAGUCAGACGCUCACCCAACGAAGCCACCCGGGCGCCCUCAUUUACUUUUUUAAAAUAUUUAUUGGGGCGCCUGGGUGGUUCAGCCAGUUAAGUGUCCAACCUCACCUCAGGUCAUGAUCUCGCGAUUCAUGAGUUCGAGCCCCACGUUGGGCUCUCUGCUGUCCGCACAGAGCCCGCUUCAGACCCUCUGUCUCCCUCUCUUUGUUGUACUUCCUUCACUCAUGCUCGUGCACUCGCUCUCGCUCUCUCUCUCAAAAAUAAACA